CCUUAUCUGGAACGGGUUUCGCUGGCUAACGUGUUGUGAGGAAAACGAAUAAAAAAAACACACACACACAUCCUAGCGCGCAUAGCGCAAAAUUUCAAUUCGUUGUCGACGAAACCUGCACUGGAGUUAGG
rnacentral:pre_miRNA from 1 species